CCCCCUCGCUCAUCUCUCCCCCUGGCGAUCCUUCGCUAUCAACCCUAGCCGCCCUCAUCUCAAAAAAAAAAAACCCUAGCCGCCCUGCCGAUCUCCUUCUUCCUCCACGCGCGACCAGGGAAGCCCCAACAUGGCGCAGGACCCGGAGGUCGCUGGCGUGUUCCAUGGCCGACCGUCCGAGCUCGCCAUCAUCAUCCCCUCGCACGGCCGUCCAACGUCGCCAUCAUCAUCGAAGCGCAGGCUGCGCAGCCCGUCGAGGGCACACCUGACUCAUCUAGGCAUUCUCCUCAAGCGGCUAAUGAAGCACCCUCUUGAUCUGAUCCUCCUCCACGCGCGGGACUCGGAGGUAGCCGGGGUCCUCCUCGCUUGGCCAUGCGAACUCGCCUCACCAUCGACCUCAUCCCAGGCUCAAGAAGCCACAGUGAAGUACCACUCGAUCUCAGCGUGGGCACCUGGGUCCGGAUAGGCUGCCUCCAGUGAAGCGUCGUACUGACUUUUCUCUCCGUCAGGUGUCAGCAACGACUCCUGCCAUGCCACUAGACUCUCCUCUUGUUGUCUAACUCUGCUCGGAUCGCCCACCCCUUGCUUGUGCGGCUCGCCUCCAUGUGUACCUGUGUGCAGGAUCCAUCCAGACAGAUCAAGGAGCGUAUCGAGCUGUGCAUCGAUCAGAUCGAUGCCGUCCACGCUGCCGGUACCUACCCGCUUUCCAAGAUGAAGAUCAGGCUCAGAAUGAGAGACGCAAUGAUUCGAGGGACAACUGCGUUGACACAAGUCGGAGCUAGGUAGGGAGGUUAAGGAGCUGGUCUGAAUUUUCGAAUAUUGUUACUUAUCAGUGCAUAUGAAUCAUUAUUGUUACUUUUCAUUUGGGUAUCACCUACUAUUUAUGACUGCUACCGACUCACGUUUAAGCAAAUGCAGAUAUCCAACUAGAAACCAAUCAUGAUUUAAUUUAGAGUUUUAAGAAGGCAUGGUUUUUUAAGCAGAUGGAAUGAUUAUACCUUGAUUAUAUGCCACAGUUGCGAGAAUAGGUAAAGGCGAUGUAUACAGCAAUGCUUCAUCAUUUCAGUUGCUUUAGAGGGUUAAAACUAAUCUACCGUGGUAUAUGUCACAUUUGCGGGAACAGAUGAAUGCAAGGUAUAUCACAAUGCUUCAUUGCAAAUGUCCACUGUUAUAUGUAUGCUUUAUCAAUAACACUGUUAUAUGACUAAUUUAGUUAUGGUUAAUGCCAUCUACUAUAUUUUCAUCUUGAGUUGACAUCACUUCAUUGAUGGACCAUGUAGGCUUGCAGGCUGUUGCAAUGCUCCAUGACAACUACAGAAUUCAGCGAAGAAACUAACACAUCUCCCUGGUAUUGAGUUAUUAGAAACUUUGCAGUUGCACAUCUAUAGUAAUCAUGACCAAACAUUGUUAUUGUGUAGUUCAAAAUUUAGUAGUAGUAACUGUCUGUGCUAGAUCCAGUAUUUUACUUUCUGACAGACACGGCUUAGCAUUGUAAGUGGAAGAUUGGGCCCAAAUCUUACUCUACGGGUAUUUCAAGGUUUGAACUUAAUGGUGUUAAUUUUCUUUCCCUACUACCAGUUUGAGUUAACUUCUGUAUUUUUCCCAUGUGGUUUGAACCAUAGUGCAAGUUGGAAGAUCUUUCUUUUUGUUCGACGGAAUUAUUCUAUAGUUGUAUCUUCCAAUAUUGCAAGUUUAUGCAAUGUAGUUUUAUGGGUGCAACAAUUCCUUUGUUGUGCUUAUGCAGAGCAUGAUUUAGUUGCCUUUACACCACUUUUUUUUAUAUCAAACUCAUGUACACAGAUCUGGCUAGCUAUGUGGGAUAGGAAAUGAUACACCUUAUGGCUGGCUGUGAAUAGACGAGGAGGAGGCGGAUGUGGUGGCCGCCGGAGCGUAGCGGAGAGAGCCGCCGGAACGGAGCGGAGAUGCCCGUCGCGGCCGCCAUGGAGUAGACGGUCAGAGUGCCGGCGGUGCUUGCCCGUCGCGGCCAUGCGGAGGAAACAGUCGAAGACGCCCAUCGCGUUUGCGUGGAGGCUCCCGUCGGAGUGCCUGCGCGGGGAGGUGGCCGGAGUGGCAGCGGCAGAGCUCCACUUGGCCGUGAUUCCCCUUGCUCCCGCUCGCUCGAUUCUGCCCGUGUGUGGGAGGAAGGUUGACUAGCUGCUGUCUUGGGCUGUUUUCUCUGCUGGCCAUUGGAUGAGAAUGAACGGUGGAUUGAGAGGCUCGGGGCACAGCGUGACCUGUGAGCGUCAGGGCACUGGAUCUCAGUCCAGGAAGCAAUAACACUCUUAUAUGACUAAUUUAGUUAUGGCUAAUGCCAUCUACUAUAUUUUCAUCUUGAGUUGACAUCACUUCAUUGAUGGACCAUGUAGGCUUGCAGGCUGUUGCAAUGCUCCAUGACAACUACAGAAUUCAGCGAAGAAACUAACACAUCUCCCUGGUAUUGAGUUAUUAGAAACUUUGCAGUUGCACAUCUAUAGUAAUCAUGAUCAAACAUUGUUAUUGUGUAGUUCAAAAUUUAGUAGUAGUAACUGUCCGUGCUAAUGAUCCAGUAUUUUACUUUCUAAAAGACACGGCUUAGCAUUGUAAGUGGAAGAUUGGGCCCAAAUCUUACUUUAUGGGUAUUUCAAGGUUUGAACUUAAUGGUGUUAAUUUUCUUUCCCUACUACCAGUUUGAGUUAACUUCUGUAUUUUUCCCAUGUGGUUUGAACCAUAGUGCAAGUUGGAAGAUCUUUCUUUUUGUUCGACGGAAUUAUUCUAUAGUUGUAUCUUCCAAUAUUGCAAGUUUAUGCAUUGUAGUUUUAUGGGUGCAACAAAUCCUUUGUUGUGCUUAUGCAGAGCAUGAUUUAGUUGCCUUUACACUCCAAUUUUUUUUAUAUCAAACUCAUGUACACAGAUCUGGCUAGCUAUGUGAGAUAGGAAAUGAUACACCUUAUGGCUGGCUGUGAAUAGACGAGGAGGAGGUGGAUGUGGUGGCCGCUGGAGCGGAGCGGAGAGAGCCGCUGGAACGGAGCGGAGAGGCCCGUCGCGGCCGCCGUGGAGUAGACGGUCAGAGUGCCGGCAGUGCUUGCCCGCCGCGGCCACGCGGAGGAAACAGUCAAAGACGCCCGUCGCGUUUGCGCGGAGGCUCCCGUCGGAGUGCCUGCGCGGGGAGGCGGCCAGAGUGGCAGCGGCAGAGCUCCGCUUGGCCGUGAUUCCCCUUGCUCCCGCUCGCUCGAUUCUGCCCGUGUGUGGGAGGAAGGUUGACUAGCUGCUGUCUUGGGCUGUUUUCUCUGCUGGCCAUUGGAUGAGAAUGAACGGUGGAUUGAGAGGCUCGGGGCACAGCGUGACCUGUGAGAGUCAGGGCACUAGAUCUCAGUCCAGGUAUCGUGCAGGUGGGCUCUUCUUUUGUUCAUUGAUGUUCCUUGCUUUGCUUGUUCUCAUGCUGCUUCCCUUUUUGGUUUGUUAUUGUUUCCAGUUCGGUUGAAGUACAAAGAACGAAAGAUCAUCAUUGUUCGUUUGUCUCUCCGAAUUGUUAUAAAAAUGCAGACACUUCUCAAGUUCACAAUCUUAGUUAGUAAUAAACCUCUCUGUAACCGGUAGUCAGAAAGAGGGCAAUUAGUUCUAGCUUGAUUCUGUAAUUCACCUGAUGUCAUUUCUUGCCGGUCAGGUAUCCAAUUGAACAUUGACCAUGCUGCUUCACAUCCUGCUCUUGAGAACUCAUCCUGUCAUUAGGUUAGAAUUCUAUGAACACCUAAGAAGACACCCACUGUAGCAAGCCUCUUUUGUGAUGUCUGAAGAUGAUAUGGAAGAGUACUGCAGACAACUCAUCUCAACUAUUCCACAUGCCUCAUUGCUUCUGAUGGAUGGUGAAAUGCCUAAUGUGGGAUCCGGACCUGAUGUCGCGGGAGAUGACAGCGGAGCUACGAAGAUCGAUCGACGCAAGUGGAAAACUCAAGAGAGAUAAAUGGGCGGUGAGGUGGCUUCGGUGGAGGAGUAAAAUGCAAGGCCAUGGGCUGUAGAAGAGAUGGGUAGAGUACGAGAAAGAUGUCGUGGCUUGGAUGCAUUCACGCUGCAAGACUACAUUACGGCGGUCGCACUGCAGCGCGGUUCUUCUCUUUUUCGUUUUAUGAGUUAGUUUUUAAGCUCACCUAAAGACAUCGGGCCCUUAUGAGUUAGUUUUUAAGCUCACCUAAAGACAUCGGGCCCCUUCCAGGAGGCUAAGCAAGUUAUAAGGAAAAAUGUGUAUCAUUUCUCUUGAUAAAUGUGCCUUAUCAUAUUUAUAAUUAUGAAUUGGUGACUUCAUUUUUUUGCA